GUGGACUGUAUGUAGUCCACCAGGCUCCUCCGUUCAUGGGAUUCUCCAGGCAAGAAUACUGGAGUGAACUCCCAUUUCCUUCUCCAGGGGAUCUUCCCGACCCAGGGAUCGAACCCAGGUCUCCCACGUUGCAGCUUCACCCUGGUGGCUCAGAUGCUAAAGAAUCUGUCUGCAACGCAGGACACCCAGGUUUGAUCCCUCGGUUGGGAAGAUCCCGUCGAGAAGGACAUGGCAACCCACUCCAGUGUUCUUGCUUGGAGAAUUCCAGGGACAGAGGAGCCUGGCAGGCUACAGUCCAUGGGGCCGCGAAGAGUCGGACACGACUAAGCGACCAACGCUUGCAGUUUCUUCAAGCUCCUGCGGCCCCUGGUGUUUCCUGGCUUAUGGUGAUGGUGUAUCUCUCCAAUAUCUGCUUCUGUGCUCACAUGGUCACUGGAAGAGUCAGCAUCUGUUACCUGUGAAUCCGUGCACCUGCUCCUGUCCAUCCCCCUCUGAGGACCAGCUGUGAGUUCUGUGAACGCCUCAGCCUCUGAGUGCCCAAAGCCCGCUGACCAUGCUCACCAAAUGUUUGUGAAGUGCCGAG